AGACCGUACCCCAAACCGACACAGGUGGUCAGGUAGAGAAUACCAAGGCGCUUGAGAGAACUCGGGUGAAGGAACUAGGCAAAAUGGCACCGUAACUUCGGGAGAAGGUGCGCCGCUGACGGUGAUCGGACUUGCUCCGUAAGCUGUUGGUGGUCGAAGAUACCAGGUGGCUGCGACUGUUUAUUAAAAACACAGCACUCUGCAAACUCGUAAGAGGACGUAUAGGGUGUGACGCCUGCCCGGUGCUUGAAGGUUAAUUGAUGGGGUUAGCACUUGUGCGAAGCUCUUGAUCGAAGCCCAAGUAAACGGCGGCCGUAACUAUAACGGUCCUAAGGUAGCGAAAUUCCUUGUCGGGUA
rnacentral:rRNA from 1 species